rnacentral:rRNA from 1 species
GUACCCGCACAAGUGGUGGAGCAUGCUGUUUAAUUCGAAAUACGCGAUGAACCUUACCUAGAUUUGACAUCCCCAGCAAUACUAUAGAGAUAUAGUGGAGGUUAUCUGGGUGACAGAUGGUGCAUGGUUGUCGUCAGCUCGUGUCGUGAGAUGUUUGGUUAAGUCCAACAACGAGCGCAACCCUCGUCUUAUGUUGCUAACAUUAAGUUGAGAACUCAUAAGAGACUGCCGGUGUAAGCCGGAGGAAGGUGAGGAUGACGUCAAAUCAUCAUGCCUCUUACAUCUAGGGCUACAGGCGUGCUACAAUGGUCGGUACAACGAGAUGCGACAUGGUGACAUGAAGCUAACCUCUUAAAGCCGAUCUCAGUCCGGAUUGGAGUCUGCAACUCGACUCCAUGAAGUUGGAAUCACUAGUAAUCCCGAAUCAGAAUGUCG